AUUGAACGCUGGAGGCAGGCUUAACACAUGCAAGUAGAGCGAGCGGGGGACGGGUGAGUACUGUAUGGGGACUGCCCGAUAGAGGGGGAUAACGACUGGAAACGGUAGCUAAUACCGGAUACAAUCGGAUAACCCAUAUGGGAUUAGCUAGUAGGUGAGGUAAUGGCCAACCUAGGCGACGAUCCCUUGAUGGUCGUCGAGGAUGCUCAGACACACUGGGACUGAGACACGGCCCCGACUCCGACGGAGGCAGCAGUGGGUAAUAUUGCACAAUGGGCGGAAGCCUGAUGCAGCCAUGCCGCGUGUAUGAAGAAGGCCCUAGGGUUUUAAACCACUUUCAGCGAGGAGGCGUUACUCGCAGAAGAAGCACCGGCUAACUCCGUGCCAGCAGCCGCGGUAAUUC
rnacentral:rRNA from 1 species